rnacentral:lncRNA from 1 species
CUCGCCUCACGAGAAGUCGAGUCCCGUCCUGGCACACACCCUCCGGGCCCCAGACCAGCCUCCUGGAGGCGGCGUCACUUCCAGAGUUUGUCCACAUCUGUGGGACCUUCCACGUCCCAGAAUCCCUCAGGGUUUGUUCCGGAACUUCAGCUGUGCGAGAGGAAAACCCCAGGUCCCGCAUGCCGGAGGGAAUCCCUGGGGUGGCGCUGAGUCCGGCACACGGCCCACCUGGCCCUCGGGUCGGCGUCUCUGCCCAGGGCCUCCCCUGGCCCGUGUCCAGCCUGCAGACCCUCCCACAGCAGGUCCGAGCAGAGGAUGUGCGGGCCGGAGGAACUCGUGGGUGUGCGGGCUCCUCGCUUCUCCUCCGGGGCCCUGAGUCCUUCAGUCACAUCAGAAUUGCUUUCUUCCCGGCCCCGGGUGACUUGUCCUUCUGCCAGGAGCCUGGACUCCUUCCUCCUCCUCCGAUCCUCCUGGAAGCCUCUCUGGACACGGUUUCCCCCUGUUUUCUCCUACAGCCCAUGACAAUCCCACAUGCGCUGCGUGGGUCCCAACAAUCGCGUUCGUGGUCAGGGCCCAGGACGUGGCCCCCACCGCCUUCAUGGGGAGAGCGUCCUCCCCACCUGCUUCCUUCCACAAGACUUCGUCUGCGCUGUGCUCCCAGGAUGGGGACGCCACCACGAGGAAAGGCCGUGAGGACGACAGGAAGUCAGCACCACCGAAGGUCCUGUUCCUCGUUUCAUUUCGUCCACAACUUGGAUGAAGACCCAGAAUCAUGCUGACCAAACAUGCAAAGGACACGAAGCAGGAGAGUGAGUAUACUGGGUGCUGAAGUCCAGAUCCAAAACGACUUCACCGCCAGGAGAAAAGGCCCCGAGUUAACAAGACAGAACCCAACAGGGAGAAGUCAGCCGUCAUGCAUUCCGGCUCACUCAGUCCUCAAGUAGAGGAGCAGGAAGGCCUAGCUUGACAGUGUUGUGAAAAAGAUCUGAUGGAGUUAGUGGGCCACAAGCUCACCAAGAGACAGCUGUGUGACUCGGCUGCUUAAGAGCCUUGAUGCAUCCCUGAGCAGCCUGGAGAGCAAGGGACCCUCAGAUCAACAAAGGAGAUACCCCCACCUCUCGUGGUCCACACUGGUCAGCGUCUCUGGCCGGACCCUGGGGUGACAGCAGGCAAUGCUGCUGGAGUGGUGCCAUGGCAGGAGUGCAAAUUUCACGAGUUGGAUGGUGUGACCCUUGCUGCACAAGGUGGGCCUUCCCCCUGGAGGGGCAGGAGGCGGGCCCAGCGUUGGCUCCAGACCCCGUGCUCCGAAUCCCUGCUCCACGGCCCCUCUCGGGGUGCUGCAGGGCAAGGCGAGGUCUUGGUGUCUUCAGAGGGCUGGGAACGUGUCGUGUGCUCUCGGCAGAAGCCCUGGUGACGAGCAUCGGCACAGCGGACGUGGACGCCGGGACUGUGGGCGUCUAGCUCCUGGAGGAGAUGUGACCCAAUAGGGCAGAGCAGGCUCGUCUGCAUCGGUCGGUACUUGCCUCUGUUUCACCGACACCUCGUCGAGCGUGACGGAUGGCGAUGUCUUCAUCCUUCUCCUGCCGGUGAAACCCCCACCCUGACUUGCGGUUGGAGCAAGGAUGCUCUACGCUUGUUGAGGCAAAUAUCCCAGGAGCCCUCGUCCCGGCGGCGUGCGGGGCCCUGGCGUCUGGGAGUCUGACGCCACCACGCUGUGGCGGUUUUCUGACGCGGUUGAGUGGUUUCCUCCUCGCCUGCUGAGGACGAGAGCUCUCCCAGCGCUGUGUUCUCCACAGCACUUGCCUGACUUUUUAAUUUUUGCGAGAAC